ensembl:lncRNA
GUUUUGUAUAGUACUUUCUUUACUCCUUACUAAACUGUCUGAAAAGGGUAAUAUUUUAUGUAUUUGAGGCCUGAGAUGUGGGAACAGUGAAGAGAGAGAGGACAAACAUUUUGCUUUUUAGGUCAGCAUUGCUAUCUAAUCAGCCAAUACUGUCUUAAAUUGCCCGAAUAGUACUUAACAUGGGAUUUUGACCAGAUAUAUUCAAUCUUGAUUUUUGUAAGAUGUUAUUUAUUUAUUUUUCUUGUGUGUGUGUGUGUGUGUGUGUGUGUGUGAGAGAGAGAGAGAGAGAUAUGUCAGUACUUCCAUCUUAAAAAUAGGGGUGUGAAUCUUCACAAUUCAGUUCCAUUAUGAUUAUCAUUAUCAACUCAAUAUCACGCUAGUAACAUUGUUACUAUAAUGUUACUAGGUCCCCGACCCGGGUUCAAUCCCGGGACGUGUUUGCUUUCACACAGAAGUCAACCCGGCAAUGUUCGCCAGAUCCGACGUGCAGUGUGAAAGGGGCUAGAGAGAGAGAAAUUACAGUUUUGGACAUGUAAGAUUUUUGGCAAAGUCUAAUCUGGUCUUGUUUGCACCUUGUGGUGAACCAUUUGCUCUCGUGAAGUCCUCUCUUGAUUGUAGACUUUGACACUUGGCUGGACGUUGUGAAAGUUUUUUUUCUUUACCAUGGAGAGGAUCCUCCGAUCAUCCACCACUGUUAUCCUCCAUGGACGUCCAGGAUGUUUUAUGUUGCUGAGCUCACCAGUGCAUUAUUUCUCACAUUUUUCAGAAUGUACCAAUCUGUUGAUUUGGCCACUCCUAAUGUUCCUGCUAUCAUUCUGAUGGAUUUGUUUUGUUUUUGAAGUCUAACCAUUCACCUGCAUGGAGAGAUCCUUUGACUGCAUGAUGUGGGUUCACAGCAACAGCUUCCAAAUGCAAAUGGAACACUUAGAAUCAACUCUGCUUUUACCUGCUUAAUUGAUGUAGAAAUAAAGGAUUGGCCCACACCUGUCCAUGAAACUGCUUUUGAGUCAAUUGUCCAAUUACUUAUUGUCCCUUGCACUUUAAGCCCAUAUUCAUUAUAACUGUAACUUGAAUAUGUUUUGGUCAACAGCUAAAAUAAUAAAAAAAAAUUCCCUGUGUCCAAAUAUAUGGACCUAACUGUAUAUAUAGAGCUUAUCAAAUAUGGUUAACGGAAGGUCAGCAGUGCUUGUUUGUUGCAUGAAACCCAAUGAGGAACGACUUGAGGAUGAUUAAUUGGUGACAGAAUGUUCAUUUUUUUGGGUGAACUAUUGCUUUAUGACAUAUUCCUAAAUCAACUGCAAUGGAGCUGUCAA